rnacentral:rRNA from 1 species
GACGAACGCUGGCGGCGUGCCUAAUACAUGCAAGUUGAGCGAUGAAGACUGGUGCUUGCACCCAUUUGAAGAGCAGCGAACGGGUGAGUAACUCGUGGGGAAUCUGCCUUUGAGCGGGGGACAACAUUUGGAAACGAAUGCUAAUACCGCAUAACAACUUUAAACAUAAGUUUUAAGUUUGAAAGAUGCAAUUGCAUCACUCAAAGAUGAUCCCGCGUUGUAUUAGCUAGUUGGUGAGGUAAGGGCUCACCAAGGCGAUGAUACAUAGCCGACCUGAGAGGGUGAUAGGCCACGUUGGGACUGAGACACGACCCAAACCACUGCGAGAGGCAGACGUAGGGGAUCUUUGGCGGUGGAAGAAAGGGGGAACAAGCGACGAUGCGCGAGUGAAGGAGGUAUUCGUAUCGUAAGACUCUGUUAGUAGAGAAGAUCGUAGGGGAGAGUUGAAAGCUCAGCUAAUGACGGUACCUACAGAGAAAGGGACGGCUAACUACGUG